CACGUAGGGCGCAAGCGUUGUCCGGAAUUAUUGGGCGUAAAGAGCUCGUAGGCGGUCUGUUGCGUCCGCUGUGAAAACCCGGGGCUUAACCCUGGGCUGGCAGUGGAUACGGACAGACUAGAGGUAGGUAGGGGAGAAUGGAAUUCCCGGUGUAGCGGUGAAAUGCGCAGAUAUCGGGAGGAACACCAAUGGCGAAGGCAGCUUGCUGGGACGGCACUGACGCUGAGACGCGAAAGCGUGGGGAGCAAACAGG
rnacentral:rRNA from 1 species